GACGAACGCUGGCGGCGUGCCUAAUACAUGCAAGUCGAACGCAGUGGGGACGGGUGAGUAACACGUGGGUAACCUCCCAUCAGAGGGGAUAACACUUGGAAACAGGUGCUAAACCGAUACUGAUGGAUGGACCCGCGGUGCAGUAGCUAGUUGGUGAGGUAACGGCUCACCAAGGCAACGAUGCAUAGGCGACCGGUGAGGUGGAUCGGCCACCACGGGCCUGAGACACGGCCCCGACUCCUACGGGAGGCAGCGGUAGGGAAUCUUCGGUAAUGGACGAAAGUUUGACCGAGAAACGCCGCGUGAGUGAAGAAGGUUUUCGGAUCGUAAAACUCUGUUGUUAGAGAAGCGGUAUCUAACCAGAAAGCCACGGCUAACUACGUGCCAGCAGCCGCGGUAAUUC
rnacentral:rRNA from 1 species